AAAGUUCCCUUCGGGGAGCGAGUAGAGUGGCGUCCGGGUGAGUAACACGUAGGUAAUCUACCUUUGGGUGGGGAAUAACAACCGGAAACGGUUGCUAAUACCGCAUAAUGCAGCGGCAUCACAUGAUGACAGUUGUUAAAGCGGGGGAUCGUAAGACCUCGCGCCUAAAGAGGAGCCUGCGGCGGAUUAGCUAGUUGGUAAGGUAACGGCUUACCAAGGCAACGAUCCGUAGCCGGCCUGAGAGGGCGGUCGGCCACACUGACACUGAAAUACGGGUCAGACUCCUACGGGAGGCAGCAGUCGGGAAUUUUGGGCAAUGGGCGAAAGCCUGACCCAGCAACGCCGCGUGAAGGAUGAAAUCCCUCGGGAUGUAAACUUCGCAAGAACAGGAAGAAUAAGUAGGGGACAAUACCCCCUAUGAUGACGGUACUGUUUGUAAGCUCCGGCUAACUCCGUGCCAGCAGCCGCGGUAAUACGGGGGGAGCAAGCGUUGUUCGGAUUUACUGGGCGUAAAGGGCGCGUAGGCGGCCUGUGCAAGUCAGUUGUGAAAUCUCCGAGCUUAACUCGGAACGGUCAACUGAUACUGCUCGGCUAGAGUGCGGAAGGGGCAACUGGAAUUCUUGGUGUAGCGGUGAAAUGCGUAGAUAUCAAGAGGAACACCUGCGGCGAAGGCGGGUUGCUGGGCCGACACUGACGCUGAUGCGCGAAAGCUAGGGGAGCGAACGGGAUUAGAUACCCCGGGUAGUCCUAGCCUUAAACGAUGAAUGCUUGGUGUCU
rnacentral:rRNA from 1 species